rnacentral:rRNA from 1 species
CUCUGUCACUCCUACGGGAGGCAGCGAUGGGGGAAUAUUGCACAAUGGGCGCAAGCCUGAUGCAGCCAUGCCGCGUGUGUGAAGAAGGCCUUACGGGUUGUUAAAGCACUUUCAGCAGUGAGGAAGGCGGAGUCGUUAAUAGCGGCCUCGUUUGACGUUAGCUGCAGAAGAAGCACCGGCUAACUCCGUGCCAGCAGCCGCGGUAAUACGGAGGGUGCGAGCGUUAAUCGGAAUUACUGGGCGUAAAGCGCAUGCAGGUGGUUUGUUAAGUCAGAUGUGAAAGCCCGGGGCUCAACCUCGGAAUAGCAUUUGAAACUGGCAGACUAGAGUACUGUAGAGGGGGUAGAAUUUCAGGUGUAGCGGUGAAAAUGCGUAGAGAUCUGAAGGAAUACCGGUGGCGAAGGCGGCCCCCUGGACAGAUACUGACACUCAGAUGCGAAAGCGUGGGGAGCAAACAGGAUUAGAUACCCUGGUAG